UCUCGUUCUAGUCUAAGAUAAGAAAUUUUUCAAAAAAACUUCUUAUUUUGCCACUUUUACACGACAAUUAUACGAGGCUGUACUAGAUUAAGGGCCUGACGAAGAAAAAUGUGUGCUUGGAUAUCUGUGGUGUACUCAUAGACCAUGUUAUUUGAUUAUAUGCAUUAAUGACUGUAUGCGGCUCUUACCCGUUCAUUUAUUUCAUAGAACUUUCACACAAUUUUGCUCUGAGUUUAACAAUUUCGCUCUUCACGUGAAUCUCUACGAACAUGUUUGUAUAAUUAGGCUCUUUCGGACGAAAAGUUUGCCGACCGCUGGUAUAAGUGAAAAAAGUCUUAAAAUCAUAACUUAAUGAGUAAACUUUUGGAAAAGCAGACUACAAAUUCUUCCGUUCAGUUUUAUCUACAUUAGUGUAUAUGUUCUCCAACACAUCAAAUGUUAUUGUGAAUUUUUGAAAAGAAAAAAAACAUAACAUAAUACGUACGGCUAUCUAAUAAUAUCAGUGAUUUGUGUUCAAUUAAUUUACCUUUCGCCAUACAAUCAUAAGUAUGAUUAAAGAUAAUAAUCAGUGUUAUGAUGAUCGUUGUUUGAUGCAACAUACAUUUUAAAUUUCAAACAAUAAACAAAUACUGAGAUAAUAUCUAUUUAGUGAUCAAUUAAAAGUGAUUGUGAAACUAUUUGUUUAUUUAAUUUAGUUUAGUUUAGUGUUUAUUAAUCGAUGGACUACAAAGGCCUCUCGUGUCAAAUAGUAUUCACAAUAUACAAUAAAUAACGAACAGAAAAUUUAUAUAUAGGACGCAACACUUAAACGUGAAGUCCGCUCUGCCAUCGUCAUUCCAGGCGCGUAGAGAUCGUCAACUGAAUUUAUUGAUAUAAUACAGCGGUUUUCAACCGGUGGGGAUAUCUCUCCAUAGAGGGAAUUUUUGUUUUGCUAAAAUGGAAGGGAUGGAGAAUAGUGUAUCGUAGUUUCUGUUAUCCAUAAUAGAUAGAUAGCCAUAUUUGAAUACAGGAUACGCAAACUUUACGACUGAAAGAGCUAAAUUCUACAAAAUUCUUCGUAGAGUUCCAUGUGAAGAGCCAAAUACAUAAGCCAAGAAUAAAAAAUGGGUGAAAUGUCUAUGAAAUAUUAGCCGCCAUCUCAACACAAAGGAGGAUCGCUGAUCUAGAGGAAUACUUUUAGAAUCACUAUAAGUGAGAUGUGAGACCAACUAACUUUACAAAAUGCAUGGCGUACCUUCGAUACUGAAAGCAAGCACCAGGAUUAAAAUUUGUCAUUGCACAUUGGGUGUUACCUUGCACCUUGUAUGUCGUAUGUAUCGAUGCCGUUUCCGGAACUAUUAGUCCGGAGCCAGGGGCUAUAGCCGUUGAGUAUAUGCCGGCUUCAAAGCCGUAAGCACAUCUAAAAGAAUCAAUCAUUCGAAGAAUCGAUUAUAAACUCAAAAGAAAUUUACAGCGUUAGUUUUAAAUAGGAAUUUGGAUCAAGUUUUAUUGAUCACUUUGGUCAGUUCGGUCACUACUACUCAUCUGAAGAAUUUUGUGCAAAAUAAUAAGUGAAGUUUAAAGUAUUGCGUUCGUUGGACAGUACUGUGCAGUCUGACCUACACUGAGUUUAUGUGUCCCCGAAACAUCCAUGUAUCUUAAAUAUUCGCGUAAGCCGUUUAUACGUUUUAGAGCCAAAGACAUUUGAUAAUUGAGAAUGUUUUAUUAAUUUUAGUGAUUGAAACUCUCAAUCAUAUGUUAAAUACGAUACGUGCAGAAUUUUAUAACUGGUUUUUAAUUUAGCGAUUUAUUUGUUUUUAGCAGCCCUGCUAUUUAUUUUGCGUUAAAUAAAUCUUGGAGUAAAUUGUACUGAUUUACCACAUUAACCGUAUAAUUUAGAAACCGUGUAUUUCCGAAUCUGCAUAAAUUAAGAAACUUGUAACUCAGGAACAGACUGUUUUAUGUGUAUCUUUCAGUGAAGAAUACUAGAUUUUUUAUCAUUUAGGAUUAAGCAAGUGGUCUUUAUGUACCGAUUAUUUUAGCGAACUCUUAAUGAUUGGGAUGAGAUGAUUAUUUGAUUGCUCUUAAAUUUUGCUGUUGGUCUGGUUUUGACGGUAAAAUAAGCGAUUAACAUAGCGGCCAUCAAUUUAACUCCUUUAAAAUAGAAUACAAAACUAUUUCAGUGGAAAAUAAACAAAUAACGAUUUAACGAUCACUUAAAUUAUUCA